UUGCUAAGUGUGGAUUGAUUUGGAGCUGG
rnacentral:piRNA from 2 species